rnacentral:rRNA from 1 species
ACGGGGAUGCCUUAGUACGGCGAGUGAAGCGGCAAAAGCUCAAAUUUGAAAUCUGGUACCUUCGGUGCCCGAGUUGUAAUUUGGAGAGGGCAACUUUGGGGCCGUUCCUUGUCUAUGUUCCUUGGAACAGGACGUCAUAGAGGGUGAGAAUCCCGUGUGGCGAGGAGUGCGGUUCUUUGUAAAGUGCCUUCGAAGAGUCGAGUUGUUUGGGAAUGCAGCUCUAAGUGGGUGGUAAAUUCCAUCUAAAGCUAAAUAUUGGCGAGAGACCGAUAGCGAACAAGUACAGUGAUGGAAAGAUGAAAAGAACUUUGAAAAGAGAGUGAAAAAGUACGUGAAAUUGUUGAAAGGGAAGGGCAUUUGAUCAGACAUGGUGUUUUGUGCCCUCUGCUCCUUGUGGGUAGGGGAAUCUCGCAUUUCACUGGGCCAGCAUCAGUUUUGGUGGCAGGAUAAAUCCAUAGGAAUGUAGCUUGCCUCGGUAAGUAUUAUAGCCUGUGGGAAUACUGCCAGCUGGGACUGAGGACUGCGACGUAAGUCAAGGAUGCUGGCAUAAUGGUUAUAUGCCGCCCGUCUUAA